AGGGGACAUCUCAAUUGGGCACAGAUGUUACGAGGUAUAAACAUAAAAUUGAUCGCAGACAAGGAGGGAGACAAUGGACCCGAAUCACGCUCCUUAUCUUAAUCUCUCCGCCACCGUCAUCACAGCCAAAGGAUACUCCGGCCUCCGCCUCGCAAAGCCCUCCAUUUCCCAUGGAACCCGAAAUCCUCUUCUCAUCCCACCAGCAGUUUAGAUUGAAGGCUUUGAUUGGUGAUGCCCUUCAGGAAAAAACCAUCUGCCCCUGCUGCGAGGAAGCUUGUCAAUGGGAAAAUCUCACUGGUCCAGGCCAACUUGAAGAUUGAACCUCUAUAACCGAGAAUAUUUCUCAAGUAUGAUACUACUACAUAUAGGUAUUCAUAUUGUAUAUUAUGACAAGCCAAAAAAUAUCUAAAUAAAUAGCAAAUGAAAUUUGUGAAAUUCUAACCUCUUGUUCAUGAUUAACAUCUUUCAAGUCAUUUAAAAUGAGAAUAACUUGAAAAAAAUUAACCCCAUGAAUUUGUAUUCUAGCCAGAGCCGGCUGCCGACCGUAGUCAAUGACAACUCUUAAGACAUUAGUCCUUCCAUUGAAUUGCUCAAAGAAGUAUGUCUGUGUGGUAUUAUUGGUCUCAAUGUGGGAUACCUGGUCAUGGUCCACAAGUAGAAAGUUAACAAUCAGUUGCUCUGGGCUGUAAUGCCACAUUGAGACCAGUAAUGCCAUACAUACAUACUUCUUUGAGAAGUUAAAUGGAAGGAUUAAUGUGUUGUCAUUGCCUACUGCGACAACAAGCUUUGGCUAGAAUACAAAUGCAUGUGGUUAAUUUUUUGCAAGCCAUUCUCAUUGAAGAUGACUUGGAAGAUGUUAAUGAUGGGCAGGAGGUUAGAAUUUCACAAAUUUCAUUUGCUAUUUAUUUAGAUAUUUUUUGGCUUGUCCUAAUAUACAAUAUGAAUACCUAAAGGUAGUAUCAUACUUGAUAAAUACUGUCGGAUAUAGAGAUUCAAUCUUUAAGUUGAACUCGACCAGUGAGAUUCAUAUAUGUAUAUAAUGUGCCUACAUGGUUCAAAAACUUAUCUGAAAACAACUGACACGCCAUUCUCAAUGUUUUUUUCGACAUCAAGAGCAAAAUAAUGCAACAUCAAAGCUAAGGAGUACCAAGAGCAGCUACGUAUGCUGGAUAAACCAAAAGUAGGGCAGCAAGAGAAACUGCAUGUAUAGAUUACAAACUAGUCAAUUAGGUUGGUUGAGAUAGUUACUAAUAAGCAUGCUAUGUUAGUGAGAGGGUUGAUGUAAGAAUUGUAACUAUAGAUGUAAGAUAGUUACUAAUUAGCAUGCAAGUUCAUUUAUAAUUUCUUUUUUACUUAUGAAUC